GCACAAGCGUGGAUGAUGUGGAUUAAUUCGAUGCAACGCGAAAACCUUACCUACCCUUGACAUGUCUGGAACCUUGGUGAGAGCCGAGGGUGCCUUCGGGAGCCAGAACACAGGUGCUGCAUGGCUGUCGUCAGCUCGUGUCGUGAGAUGUUGGGUUAAGUCCCGCAACGAGCGCAACCCUUGUCAUUAGUUGCCAUCAUUUGUUGGGCACUCUAAGUGAGACUGCCGGUGACAAAACCCGGAGGAAGGUGGGGAUGACGUCAAGUCCUCAUGGCCCUUAUGGGUAGGGCUUCACACGUCAUACAAUGGUCGGUACAGAGGGUUGCCAACCCGCGAGGGGGAGCUAAUCCCACAAAGCCGAUCGUAGUCCGGAUCGCAGUCUGCAACUCGACUGCGUGAAGUCGGAAUCGCUAGUAAUCGUGGAUCAGCAUGUCACGGUGAAUACGUUCCCGGGUCUU
rnacentral:rRNA from 1 species